UACGAAGGGGGCGAGCGUUGUUCGGAUUUACUGGGCGUAAAGGGCGCGUAGGCGGCCCUCCUAGUCGCGUGUGAAAGCCCCGGGCUCAACCUGGGGAAUUGCGCGCGAAAACGGGGGGGGGCUUGAGUUCGGGGAGAGGAGCGUGGAAUUCCCAGUGUAGAGGUGAAAUUCGUAGAUAUUGGGGAAGAACACCGGUGGCGAAAAGCGGCUUCCUGGUCC
rnacentral:rRNA from 1 species